AUAUUAUUGCCCCUUUCAGGGAUGCUAUUGCCUUUUGCAGGGAUGUUAUUGCCCCUUUCAGGGAUAUUAUUGCCCUUUUCAUGGGUAUUAUUGCCCUUUAAGGGCUUUUAUUGCCCUUUGGAGGGGUUUUAUUACCCUUUUCAGGGAUGCUAUUGCCUUUUGCAGGGAUGUUAUUGCCCCUUUCAUGGAUAUUAUUGCCCUUUGCACGAUGUUAUUGCCCUUUGCAAGGAUAUUAUUGCUCCUUUCAGGGAUGUUAUUGCCCCUUUCAUGGAUAUUAUUGCCCUUUGCACGAUGUUACUGCUUCUCUCAGGGAUGUUAUUGCCCUUUGGAGGAAUGUUGUUGCCCCUUUCAGGGAUGUUAUUGCCCCUUUCAUGGAUAUUAUUGCCCUUUGCAUGAUGUUGUUGCCGCUUUCAGGGAUAUUAUUGCCUUUUUCAUGGGUAUUAUUGCCCUUUAAGGGAUUUUAUUGCCCUUUGGAGAGGUAUUAUUGCCCUUUUCAGAGAUAUUACUGCCCCUUUAUGGCAUUUGAUUGCCCCUUUCAUGGAUAUUAUUGCCCUUUGCUGGGAUGUUAUUGCCCCUUUACAGAAUAUUAUUACCCUUUCAGGGAUAUUCUUGCCCCUUGCAGGGAUAUAACUGCCCUUUGCAGGAUGUUAUUGCCCCUUUGCAAGGAUAUUAUUGCCCCUUUCAGGGAUAUUAUUGCCCUUUUCAGAGAUAUUACUGCCCCUUUAUGGGAUUUGAUUGCCCCUUUCAUGGAUAUUAUUGCCCCUUUCAGGGAUAUUAUUGCCCUCUUCCAGCUCUGGUCGUGCUGGGAUAAAUCUGUUCCUCCCAGUGUUUGUUGUGGCAUUUGGUGCUCCAUUUUGUGGGCAAACUUCAAGAAAACCCAAUACAUACAUUAAAUUUUGCGUGCCAGGGGCUUUGGGGGCAGCUGAAAAUUCAGCUCCGGUUCCCAAAGCUCUUGGGGAUGCUCUUGAGUUGUCCCCUCUCCCCACCAGCCCUGGGGGGCUCUUGUUCCUGGAGGUUUUUGGGGGAGCGGGCAGAAUUCUCUAGGAAUUGUACGGAAAAGGUCAAAAAUGCUGGUUUUUUUGCUUAUCUCGUGGGUGAACCUCGUGGUGGGGGGAGAUGGGGGGAGAAGCAGCCGGAGGAGGGAGUCGUGCGGCGGCGGGACGGUGUUUGGGCUACAAAUUCCAGGAAUAAGGAGAUAAAGGGUUUGGGUACGGAUUCUCCAAGGUGGCGGUGCCCAAAGCGAGACCUUUUGGCUUAAAGGAAUAUUAAAUUCAACAGCCCCUUGAACGUGAUCAUGAGCUUCACGAAGAACGUGUUAAACCUCUGUAGGGCUGCAGGACUCGACUCUCUGCCCCAAUCGCCUUCAACGUCGCCCCAGAUGUUGAAAAAACCCUACAGUUCUGGGUUUUCUCUCUCUAAAAAAUCCUAUAACUCUGGUUUUCCUUUCCCUAAAAAACCCCACAGCUCUGGGGUUUUCUUUCCCGAAAAAACCUAUAGUUCUGGUUUUCCUUUCCCUAAAAAAACCUACGAUUCUGGGUUUUCUUCCCCUAAAAAAUCCUAUAGUUCUGAUUUUUCUUUCCCUAUUAAAAACUCAUAGCUCUGGGUUUUCUCUCCCUAAAAAAUCCUGUAGCUCUGGUUUUCCUUUCCCUAAAAAACCCCACAGCUCUGGUUUUCCUUUCCCUAAAAACCCCUACAUUUCUGGGUUUUCUGUCCCUAAAAAAUCCUGCAGCUCUGAUUUUCCUUUCCCUAUUAAAAACUUGCGGCUCUGGGUUUUCUCUCCCUAAAAAAUCCUUUAGCUGCGCUUUUCCUUUUCCUAAGAAACCCCAAAGCUCUGGUUUUCCUUUCCCUAAAAACCCUAUAGCUCUGUUUUUUGGUUUUUUUUUUUUUCCUUUC
rnacentral:lncRNA from 1 species